UCAACCAUUAUCCUGUAUUACUCAUCAAAUUCAGUGGAAAAAGGAGAGAGGAAGAUAAACAAGUACAGCAAAGAUAAUGGCUAAUAUGUGUUCACCUGGUAAGACCUCAUGGCCGGAGCUGCUCGGGGAGAAUGGGAAAGCUGCUGCAGCUCUCAUAGAGAAAGAGAACAAAGAUCUGCACGCUAUCGUGUUGAAGGAAGGAACUCCAGUGACGAAGGAUCUUAGGUGGGACAGAGUCCGGGUUUGGGUCGAUGAAUGUGGUGUGGUCAUUCUAGUUCCUACUAUUGGCUAAUGUUACGUAGUUUUACUUCAUCUCCAAAUAAAUCAUGGAAUGAUUUAAAUUAUAAUGAAAUAAAAAUUUCCUUCAAUAUCUAUGAAAGCUUGUAUUAGUAAUGUCAUCGAAUGAAUAUUAGAUGAAUUAUUGCGAUUGUAAUUUAAAAGUAUUUAAAUAAUUACUUAUCUAUUUAAUUCACCUCA